rnacentral:lncRNA from 1 species
AAAAUCAGGAUAAAAAAAGCUUUAACUUAACCUAACAUAAUUAGAUUCAAAGUAUUUCAAAGAUGAUUUUAUCGAUUUUAUUUCCAUUUUGGAAGAAGGAAUGAAGGAAAUAAGGAAAACAUUGAUUAUGCUGAAAUAGUUUACUGGAGAGCUUGAACAAGAGGUAAAUCCAUUUUAAAUUAGAGGAAAACUGUUGAUUUGUAUGUAAAAUAGAAGACAAAGACAAGUUUAAAUAAAGACAAGCUAGCUAAUGAAACAGAUGCAGUGAUAUGACAAACACCUAGAAGAUGGAAUCCUGUGUUCUCAAAGAAAAAGCUAGUUCCAGAAAUAAGCUACCAAUAAUAAACUAGAGAAUGUAUUACAAGAAAGAACAACGCUAAUACCCAACAUAGCUCAAUUGCUUCAGAUAGAAAAAGAGGAGGAAAGGGUAGAACACAAGCGUGCCAGAGAAAAUUAAAGGGCAGAAGAGACACAAAAAUUCAUUGAUUUAUUUAAUUUAAUAAUUAAAUUAUACAAAGGACAAUUAAAUAAAGAAUAAAAAAUUA